AUUGAACGCUGGCGGCAUGCCUUACACAUGCAAGUCGAACGGUAACAGGUUAAGCUGACGAGUGGCGAACGGGUGAGUAAUAUAUCGGAACGUGCCCAGUAGUGGGGGAUAGCCCGGCGAAAGCCGGAUUAAUACCGCAUACGACCUAAGGGUGAAAGGGGGGGAUAGCAAGACCUCUCGCUAUUGGAGCGGCCGAUAUCAGAUUAGGUAGUUGGUGGGGUAAAGGCCCACCAAGCCUGCGAUCUGUGGUUGGUCUGAGAGGACGACCAGCCACACUGGGACUGAGACACGGCCCAGACUCCUACGGGAGGCAGCAGUGGGGAAUUUUGGACAAUGGGCGCAAGCCUGAUCCAGCAAUGCCGCGUGCAGGAAGAAGGCCUUCGGGUUGUAAACUGCUUUUGUCAGGGAAGAAAUCCUGUGGGUUAAUACCUCGUGGGGAUGACGGUACCUGAAGAAUAAGCACCGGCUAACUACGUGCCAGCCGCCGCCGUAA
rnacentral:rRNA from 1 species